GGCGAGAAGACUGAAGAUUGCCAUUUCUUUUCAUUGACACCUCUCUCUCUCUCUCUCUCUCUCUCACACACACACACACACACACACACAUAGACUCACACAGACACACACAAACCUGGCUGAGGAGCAGGCGCAGGGGAUGAGUCACUUUACACUCUCACAUGAAUCCCUCCUAUCAGGAUGAAGACAAGGGACCACACCUUAGAAAAAUCCAUUAAUCAAAACAAAUUACAGCAUAUGAAUAACAUCAAAGAAAGCCUGUGUGCACUGAAAUAAUAACACAGGAGCACGAACAUAGCAACAAUGACAUAGUAGGCAGCAAUGGUUGUAAGCAGCAGCAAGCAAUAAAGCUUGCUUGGUCAGAUCACACAACAGAGACCAGUGUUGGUUGGCUAGGAUUACCUUCAUCAUUUGAGCUUGGAUUUGACAAGGAAGUACAGCAAGAGGAAUUCAGACCUUCAUCAAAUAUAUCAUGCGUUGCUCAGACUUCAUCUCAAAGAGCUGUGAGAGAUACUGGCUUGUCUAUAGCCACCCAAAUGACUUCAUAACUAAGGGAAAUUUAAACUGGAAACUCUGCAGAUCACAAGCCUAGCUACUGCACUAUAUUAUUU